rnacentral:rRNA from 1 species
AGUGAACGCUGGCGGUAGGCCUAAUACAUGCAAGUCGAGCGGCCGCACAGUAAGCGCUUUCCUUUGAGGUUAGCGACUGGCGGACGGGUGAGACGUACAUCGGCUUCUAAUUUUUCGUGGAUAAUUACGUAGGGCAACUUAUGAUACCACCGCAUAUGUCCUACGGGAUGGAGCAAGGGUUAUUCGGACCUUUGCCGAUUCAUUUAGCCGAUGUCGGAUUAGCUAGUUGGCGGGGUAAAGGACCACCAAGGCAAGGAUCCGUAGCUGGUCUGAGAGGAUGAUCGGCCACACUGGAACUGAGACACGGUCCAGACUCCUACGGGAGGCAGCAGUGGGGAAUUUUCGGCAAUGGGCGAAAGCCUGACCCAGCCAUGCCGCGUGAGUGAUGAAGGCCUUCGGAUUGUAAAGCCCUGUUAUUAGGGAAGAAAAGCAGCAUAAGAAUACCUCGAUGUUCUGACGGUACCCAAACAGAAAGCAACGGCUAACUACGUG